GACGCGGAAGUGCGGGGAGGUCCCGGGCCGAGGUCGGUUGCCGGACUUCUGGCGCCGCCGUCCGCCUUGCGAACGUUCUGGAAGGAUAGAUUCCUAAGAGGCCGGAUCCCGGCAGCCCAUACAAGACGAAACCGGCGCCUCUCCGCUUGGGAGCCGAUGCCGGCUGCGCCCCAAAGGCCCCGUAGCGGGGCCGGACCAUGAGCCUGCUGGGCGGCCCGGCCUCCUCGCCUCGUACCCCGCUGCAGUCCGGCAAGGCCAGGAUGAAAAAGCUCCCGAAGAAGAGCCAGAACGAGAAGUACCGGCUCAAGUACCUGCGGCUGCGCAAAGCGGCCAAAGCCACCGUGUUUGAAAAUGCUGCUAUUUGUGAUGAAAUUGCUCGUCUGGAGGAAAAAUUUCUUAAAGCGAAAGAAGAAAGACGGUAUUUGCUAAAGAAGCUCCUUCAGCUUCAGGCUCUAACUGAAGGGGAGGUACAGGCUGCAGCUCCUUCCCACGGCACCAGUUUGCCCCUGACUUACAGUCUGGCCAGCUCUGUGGGAACUGUACAGGGAGCCGGGUCCAUUUCUGGGCCCAGCACUGGGGCUGAGGAGCCAUUUGGGAAGAAAUCCAAGAAGGAGAAAAAAGAAAAAGGCAAAGAGAACAACAAACUGGAAGUUCUGAAGAAAACAUCCAAGAAAAAGAAAAUGGAGGGAGGUGCUCGCAAGCUGGUUCAGCCCAUUGCCCUGGAUCCCUCAGGACGGCCUGUGUUCCCCAUCGGACUGGGGGGUCUAACAGUAUAUAGCCUGGGGGAGAUCAUCACCGACCGACCUGGCUUCCAUGACGAGAGUGCCAUCUAUCCCGUGGGCUACUGCAGUACGCGGACAUAUGCCAGCGUCAAAUGCCCAGAUCAGAAGUGUCUAUACACCUGCCAGAUCAAGGAUGGCGGCUUGCAGCCUCAGUUUGAAAUCGUUCCUGAAGAUGACCCCCAGAACGCCAUCGUCACCUCUUCUGCAGAUGCCUGUCAUGCAGGACUGCUCAAGGCCAUAAGUGCUGCUCUGGGGAAACUAAUGCCCAACCUGCUUCCUUCUGGAGCUGACUUUUUUGGGUUUUCUCAUCCGACUAUUCACAACCUGAUCCAGAGCUGUCCAGGAGCUCGAAAAUGCGUCAAAUACAUAUGGGGAGCAAUCUCUGGAAGUAAGAAUGGGCUGUACGGCUCACAGACAUCCCUUAUGACAAUGCCCUUGGAUCCUGCAGUUACCAGUGGGUGAAAUUUGAGGUGUGGAAACCUGGAGACGGGCAGCCACCGCAAGGACUGCCAGACACUGAUGCAGCUAUAAGCUUCGAAGCCUUUCAGAGACAGGCCUUUGGUGAAGAUCACAGUGAUCCCAUCCUGCCAGGAUCCUUGGACCUUCCAGAGCUUCAGCCCACACCCUUCGUGUCUUCUUACCAACCCGUGUUCCUGACGCACGAACCCCUGGUGGACACUCUUCUGCAGCGCCUGAAGCCUCUGUCACAGUGUAGCCCAACUCCGUCCUCAGACUGAGCGGGAGGGGAUCGCAUACCAUGUCAUUUAACUAAAGUAAAAUUCCGAAUAUGGAAGAAGACUGCAUUUCAGGAGUGACGAGAUAGCACAUUUUGUCAUGGAGGCUCCUGUGGUGACAGUGUUCCCUGGGAAAAACUUCAGCUGCUUUAUUUUUAGCAAUAAAUUUCUCUUUACAGAUCUGCUUAUUUUCAUCUUGUUGUAAUCAGGAUUUUUUUUUUUUUUCCACUUAGCUCUGCCUGAGGUAGAGUAAAAGUGUUCUGUGAGCCCGUGUGAGAGAAGGCUGCUGACUCAGGAGGGAGAGGUAGGAGUCUGACAGCCUUCCGCCUGGAUUCUGAUCCUAGCUCCAGGAACGAUGUCCCGGCCCCUGCUACCCAAGCAGCUGCCUUAUUUUCAUGUCAGUAUGCUCACAGCCCAGUGCUGCUUGUCCCCAAGCUGGAGAGGCCAGGCGGAGGCCCGCCGUUCAUCUUUUUCUUCACACGCCACAUCCUUCAAGGGAAUCAAAAGGUCCUCAGUAAUCCUGUCUUCCCACUUUGCUGUUCUUUAUCCGAGAAUGUGCUUGUCGCUGAACGCAGAGUCCACAUGAUCACACAGAUACAUCGUGUCGGGGGGCAGCCCCCAUCCAUCUGCACGACAGGCUGACCCUGUCACUUCGCUAGCCGGCUAAUGACAUGACUGUAUUCCACACAUCCGAACAUGUCAGCCUUGCUUACGGGGCUGAGGGGGAGGUUUCAAACCCUCCUCACCCGACCUGGACCACAGUGGAACCAUGCGCCCCACCAGGUUCCCCGAGCCGGCUGGAAGGAAGUCAUGGAAGGACCCCAGAAGGGGCAGAACGGGGAAGGAGUGGUGACAGGCGUCACUGUGCUGCAGUUCCUAGCUGCUGACUGGGGACAAGAAGAAGGGGGAUCCUGUUUCCCAGGAGUAGAUGGGUCGGACAGCCGCUUUGAGAGCAAAGCACACUGGCCACGGAACUCAGAAACUAGAGUAACCUCUGUUAACUCUAUGACUCUUCCCUAUAGUCCUUUUAUAAGUUUGUAUAGUUUUUACAGUGUAAAAAGAUAAAAUUUGGGUAACAACAAACCAGAGGUAUAAAGGGGAGACUCAAAGCUGUUAAUGCUUUCAUGUUUUCCUUCUGUCGCUGCCUGAGUUGGCUGGACAUGUACACUUCCACAGAAAUGACAGCUGCUGCUUUUACAUAGAGCAAAUACCUUCUCCUUGUAGUGCUGUUGGAGUAAAACAUAAAAGCGA